UACGUAGGGGGCAAGCGUUGUCCGGAAUCAUUGGGCGUAAAGAGCGUGUAGGCGGCCAGAAAAGUCCGCUGUGAAAACUCGAGGCUCAACUUCGAGCUGUCGGUGGAAACUUUCUGGCUAGAGUCCGGAAGAGGAGAAUGGAAUUCCUGGUGUAGCGGUGAAAUGCGCAGAUAUCAGGAAGAACACCCGUGGCGAAGGCGAGUCUCUGGACAUUUCCUGACGCUGAGGCACGAAAGCCAGGGGAGCAAACGGG
rnacentral:rRNA from 1 species